GUCAUAGAAUUGCCGCCUAGAAAUAAACAGCCGGGCACAACCCGUCAAAGAACAUCACCGUCAAAUGGUGAGUAUAAAACUGAAGUACCAAAUUCAUUUCUAUAAGUUUUCCUUUGAGCACUAAUAUUGGUCAGUUUUUCUUGCAUCCCAUAAAAUUUGACAGUUCUUACUGCUCUUAUGAUUUGUUUUAUCAAUCAAUGGGACACGUUGAGAAGUGUUGACAGAAGAAUACUGAGGAUGCAGGGAGUGAAAGUUGUUACAAAAUGAGGAUACAAAUGGUGAUUUGAAAGAGAGGUGGAGAAUGAUAAGACUGAAUGACCAUCAGUUGUGAACCAACAGAGAUGAUUAAUGAUGUAUUAACAUCUUGUGAAUCUGAUAAUUAAAGUCAAAAUUACUUAUAAGGACCUCAGUUUCAGCUUUCUAAUGUAGGAGAUUCAAUAACAAAUCGCAAAUGAAAAUGUUUUCAACUGGUAAAAUUUGUUAGAGAGAAUUUCAUUUGGUUCCAAAGUUCUUCUUGAUUUAUCAUCUCAUGAAGAUGUCACAUUUUUAAGGUAGUGUGAUGUGCGAUAUGAGAUAUCAUCUCUCGCCAGAGUAAUUUCCCAGAAUAUCUCAGCUGAGAAUAUGUAUGAUAGUCUAUAUAUAUAAAUACAGAUAUAAUUAUGAAUGCAUAUAUCUGUACGCGUAAAUAUUUAACUGUCUGUCUCUAUGUAUGUGUGCAUCACUAAAACUCGAGAACUACCCAAAUUAUCUCAUUCAAAUUUCACACAUGUCUUACUUAAGGUCCAUGCAGUGUCAUGGUCGAAAUAAAUUUUCAAUUUCUUGCCUAAUGUGAUCCUGGAGCAAUCUCUUAUCUCUUACACUAUUUCAGUAUUACUUGUUAAAAGUGAAACAAUAAAAUCGCUAUUGUAAUGUGAGUUAAUACUUUCACUGUUAUAUAUCUAUGUAUGUAUAUGUAUAUAUAUGCAUUAUUAUGUAUACAAAUAUAUAUAUGUUUACAUAUGUAUGCAUACAUAUCAGAUCAAAUUGGAGCUGGGUGUAGCCUUCAGGCUUGCCAUCCCUCAGUCACACCUCAGCAUGGAAAGCGAAUAUUAAACAACGAUGAUGAUGAUGAUGAUAAUGAUGAUGAUGAUGAUGAUGAUGAUGGAACUUCUACAAUAUAGAUCUGUGUGGAGACAUUAUCAUAUUCACUGUAUUGAAAGUCACUUAUAUUUUAGUCAGAUUAUAUACAAUUUAUAUAGAUAUAUAGUAUUGCAAUGUCAGACAGUGUUUUUUUGUAUUACAUAUAAAACCUGUUAACAUGGUAAUGAAUCAGUUAUUAUUCAUUAACUGAUUUACAUUUGUAUGUCUGAAAUUUAACCUGAUUUUAUCGUAGCAUCAUCUUCUACUCUCACCCAACAGAUUUAUACCUUAUUACCGUCUGUGUAAGUAGUUCUAGUGUUUUUCUUGGGCACGCAACCACUUCUCUACAAACUGGUAUUAUUGACUUUUAUAGUCCAAUAAAAUCUAGAUGUUAUUGUGUCCUAAAACAAAAUGUGAAACAUUUCUGUAUAUUUAUGAUACUAUUUAGAUAUAUUAUAUAAAGCAUUACUGUGAUGUUUUGUAACUAUUUGGUCUUAAUUAACUUCAGUGACAAAUGUAGUAUAACGUUGGUAACAAGAUUGGGAUUAGAUAUUCCUUUAGAUGUUGUUCUUAUAUUAACAAUAACAUCACAAGACAGUUUCUGUCAGUCACACCCUGCUACACAGGUGUAAGUUCCAAGUCCUCAAGAUUAUCUACUUUCAUGCUCCAAUCGAUUAGAUGGGUCAUCAAUGUCCAAGUCAGUUCUUCAUCAGAGUAAACAUACACUUUGACUGCUUGAGGUACAAACGCAUCUCACUUAAAUUCUUUGUAAUUUAGAUGACAAGAUACCCUUCUUAACACCAAACAUUAUAUAUAGGGUCUUGGUUAUGUUUUAUUGUAGCACAGGCACUAAUAAUAUUGUCAUCAUCAUCACCAUUUAACAUCCAUUGUCCAUGCUGGCCUGGGUUAGACAGUUUCAUCAGAGCUGCCAAUCUGAGACACUGCACCAAACUCCAAUGUCACCAAUUAGAUUGAAGGUUCCACUCAAAAUUAUGCUGUCUCCUCUCAUCCACCAAUCACUUUCAUGUAUGUACUGUGGCCAUUUUCUCUUAGUGAUAGCACUAGUCAGGUUGUCUUGCUGUAUCAUUAUUCAAACUAAUUUUCAACUUCUUGCCUAAUGUGAUCCUGGAGCAAUCUCUUAUCUCUUACACUAUUUCAGUAUUACUUGUCAAAAGUGAAACAAGAAAAUUGCUAUUGUAAUGUGAGUUAAUACAUUCACUGUGAUACAUUUAUGUAUGUAUAUGUAUAUAUAUGCAUAUAUAUGUAUGCAUGUAUAUGUAUGUUUACAUAUAUAUGCAUACAUAUCAGAUCAGAUUGUAGCCUGUUGCAGCCUUCUGACUUGCCAGACAUCAGUCAGACCGUGCAAUCCAUGCUAGCAUGGAAAGCAGAUAUUAGACGACAGACACCAUCAUAAAUACCAACUCUAAUGUGUGUGCAUGAAUGUGUGUGUGCGUGUAUGUGUGCAUGUGCGUAUGUGGGGGGGGUGAGGAUAAAAUAUACAUGUACUCAUACUUUGAGUUCUAUCUUUCCUGUUUGCACCAACGUACCUAUAUAUAUAUAUAUAUGUGUGUGCGUGUGUGUGUGUGUAUGUUUGUGUGUGUGUGUGUGUGUGUGUUUGUUUGUGUGUGUGUGUGUGUGUGAAUGUGUGUAUCUAUGUAUGUAUGUAUGUAUACAUGCAGAUUUGUAUGUGUUGUUUUAUGUAUGUAAUCUCAAACAUAUUAGUCACAUAUCUAGACAUGCUCAUAUAAAUUUAAACAAUAAACUUCUGGAAAGUUUUACAGAUUUAAACAGUCACAGAAGAUCUAUAGAUUUUGAAUCAGUUUUCUCCUUUCUGGUUUUGAGAAGCCCAAUUUCUCAAGAUUGAUAUUUAUGCAGUGUGUUACAUAUCCCAGUACCCCAAUAGUUACAGGUAUAAACAUGUGUGUAUGUAUGUGUGUGUGUGUAUGUGAAUGUGUGUGUGUAUGUGUGUGUGUGAGUGUGUGUGUGUGUGUGUGUGUGUGUGUGUGUGUGUGUGUAUAUGUGUUUGUCUAUAAGCAGGUACAAACGUGUAUCUCUAUGAGCAUAUAUUUCUAUGAGGUGGAUGAAAACAACUUACCCAGUGGCCUGAAAUUGCUGGUUUUGUGCCAAAAUUCAAAGCCAAUAUUACUGAAAUCUCAUAAAGUAUCUACAAAGGUUAGUACAGUUGGUAAUAUGGAUAACUUAGAAUACAAUGGAGUUAAUCAUCAUCGUUUAAUGUCCGUUUUCCGCGCUAGCACGGGUUGGACGGUUUGACCGGGGUCUGGGGAGCCAGGGGCUGCUCCAGGCUCCAGUCUGAUCUGGCAGUGUUUCUACAGCUAUUGAACUAAAAAGGGAAAUAUCUUAUUAAGUUGGUGUAAACAGGUAAGUUAAUAGUAAUAUUUCUGCUUCGUUUUACAGGUGAGUUAAUGACAAUAUUUUUUUGUUUCUUUUAAAUCUUUACUCGGUUUACUGAUAGGUUAUUAUUGUUGUUGUUCUGUAGCCACAUAUCUUUCGUAAUCUGGCAGACUUGUGAUAAAAACUGUCCCAAGUGUGACCCUCCUGUCUUUUUUCACUUAUUGUGAAUCUGUAAAUACAUUAAACAUAUCUUAAUAUCAAAGUAUCAAACUUUGGUUUGCUCCUAAGGUAAGCAUUCUCUUUCUGUCUUCAAAAUUAGAUACAGGCUGCAAGAUGCAAAAUAAUAAUACAAAAUAAUAAAUGUUAGUGUCAUUAUCAUUCAUCAUGAAGUACCAAAUUGAUUUCUAUAAGUUUUCCCUUGAGCACUAGCAUUGGUCAGUUUUUCUUGUGUCCCAUAAAAUUAGACAGUUCUUACUGCUCUUAUGAUGUUGUUUUUUCAUUCAAGGGGACACAUUGGGAGUGAUGACAGAAGAAUAAUGAGGAUGCAGGGAGUGAAAGUUGUGAGAAAAUGAGGAUAAGAAUGGUGAUUUGAAAGAGAGGUGGAGAAUGACAACACUGAGUGACUGUAAGUUGUGAACCAACAGAGAUGAUUAAUGAUGUAUUAACAUCUUGGGAAACUGAAAAUUAAAGUCAAAAGUACUUAUAAGAACAUCAUUUUCAGCUUUCUAAUGUAGGAGAUUCAAUAACAAAUCUCAACUGCAAAUGUUUUUAAGUGGUAAAUAUUGUUAAAGAUAAUUUCAUUUGUUUACAAAAUCAUUCUCCAGAAAUUCUUGAUUUAUCAUCUUAUGAAGAUGUCAGAUUUUUACAGUAGUCUGAUGUUUGAUAUGAGAUAUCAUCUCCUGCCGAUGUAUCUUCCCAGAAUGUCUCAGGUGAGAAUAUGUAUGAUAGUCUAUAUAUAUAUACAUAUAUAUAUAUAUAUAUAUAUAUAUACUAGCAUUAUGACCCGUCCUUGCUGGAUCAUAGUGCUAGUGCAUGUAUAUAUGUGUAUAUAUAUGUGUACAUAUUACAUGUACAUCUAUAUAUAUACAUCUACACAUAAAAUACAAAAUACAAAGUUAUAUCUUGGUAUCGCUAGUGAUAACAAUACUCAAAAUAUAUAACAGACUUGAAUUGUAGGCCCAUCUCUUGCAAUUUUGAUCAAUUGUAUCUUGUCCUCCUUUUUGUAUAGAAGUGUGGCUACAAUCCAUUUUUAAUUUUUUAUCCUGGACGUAUAUUUCCACUUUGCAAGGUUCGAGUCAAGUACUCCCUUGCACGCUCCAUUGACUCGAACCUUGCUUCUAUUGUGGAGAAUUUACUGCUUCUGGUUAGAUAUCUUUCAUAGUCGCACGAAGACACUUUUCGAAGGUGCUUUCCUCCAGGUGUUCAAAUCUUUUUUUUUUCUCUACAUUGUAUACUUUAUAGACAAUAGUCUUUUCUUUAAUUUAAUUUUUUAUUUCAUUUGGUGGUGGUAUCCGAGAUUCACCCUCUUUAUCGGUGAUCAAUCUGAAAUAGGUUUGUAUUUCUUCCAUUUUAAUUUUAAUGAGUUCACGCCCACCGAUGGUUGCAGCGAAAUUCAUUUUUGGACUUUCUUCUAUCGAAGGCAUUCUAACAAAAAUGCUUCCAUAUAAAUGGUGAAAAUAUUGUCAAUUUCCCCAACCAGGGACACAAUUCAAUUUUUAAACAAUAACCAAAGCUCCUUCUCCCAAAAGGGGGAGGGUUACAGUUUACAAUUAUUUAACAAAUGCAACACAACAACGUUUCCCUUACGAGGAACCAACAAACGUGAUAACAAUAGUUAAACAGUUAUAAUAAAAACAACAAAUCUUACUGUGAAUCAAAAGCAGUACACGGUUGAUUUAAUUUAAUUUAUUCCCAUUCAUGUGAAACCACUUAUUCAAGUUCAAGUCAUUGAUGCAAUUUUAUACCAAUUGCUGUUUUUACUUUUGUUAUGUUACGAUUAUAUUAUACUUUAGUUUGAUUUUAAUUAUUACUUACUACAUAUAAUUCAAUUGUUAUUAUUAUCUCUAAUUUUUAUUGUUACAGUGAAAGUAUCUGACAUAAAAUAGAGAAAUGUAUUUGUUUCACUUUUAACACGUAAUACUGAAAUAGUGGAGAAGAUAUGAUAUUGCUAUGGGCUCGCCCUAGGCAAGAAGUUGAACGUUUAUUUUUUGGCCGAUGACACUCCCCGGACCCUAAAUAAAGCAUUUGUAAAAUUUGAAUGAAAUUGGUUGUGUAGUUCUCAAGUUUUAGGGAAACACACAGACAGACAUACAUUCUCAGUUUUAUACAUAUAGAGAUAUGUAACUGAGAAAGCAUGUAUGUGUGCGUGUAAAUGUGAGUCUGUCUGUAUGUGUGCAUCUCUAAAAUUUUAGAACUACCCAAAGGAUUUCAUUCAAAUUUCACACAGGCCUUACUUAAGGUUCAUGCAGUGUCAUGGGCCAAAACAAUUUUCAUCUUCUUGCCUAAUGUGAUCCUGGAGCAAUCUCUUAUCUCUUACACUAUUUCAGUAAUACUUGUCAAACGUGAAACAAUAAAAUCACUAUUGUAAUGUGAGUUAAUACUUUCACUGUGAUAUAUUUAUGUAUGUAUAUGUCUGUAUAUAUAUAUGCACAUAUAUGUAUGCAUGUAUAUGUAUGUUUACAUGUAUAUGCAUAUAUAUCAGACCCGAUUAGAGCCUGGUGCAGCCUUCUGGCUUGCCAGUCCUCUGUUAGACCGUCCAGUCAAUGCCAGAAUGGAAAUCGGAUAUUAAACGAAAGACACCAUCAUAAAUACCAUCUCUACUCUAUAUGUGUGUGCGUGUGUUUGUGUGUGCAUGCGUGUGUGUAUGUACAUGUGUGUCUGGGCAGGUGUAAAAUAUGCAAAUACUCAUACUUUGAGAUCUAUUUUUCCUGUUUGCACCAGCAUACAUAUAUAUGUGUGUGAGUGUGUGUUUCUGUGUGUGUGUGUGUGUAUGUAUGUAUGUAUGUAUGUAUGUAUGUAUGUAUGUAUGUAUGUAUGUAUGUAUGUAUGUAUACAUGCAGAUUUGUUUGUUUUGUUUUAUGUAUGCAUUCUCAUAUAUAUUAGUCACAUAUCUAGACAUGCUCAUAUAAAUUUAAAUGAUAAACCUCUGGAAAGUUUUAGAGAUUUUUACAGUUCCAGUGGAUCUGUAGUUUUUGAAUAAGUUUUCUCCUUUCUGGUUUGGAGAAGUCCAAUUUCUCAAGAUUGGUAUUUAUGCUGUGUUAUGUGUGUUACAUAUUCCAGUGCCCCAAUAAUUACAGGUAUAGAAAAGUGUGUGUGUGUGUGUGUGUAUGUGUGGUGUGUGUGUAUGUGUGGUGUGUGUGUGUGUGUGUGUGAUUGUGUGUGUAUGUCAAAAAGCACGUACAAAUGUGUAUCUUUAUGUGCAUUUAUGUAUGUGAGGUCGAUGAAAAUUACUUACCCACUGGCCUUUAAUUGCUGGUUUUGUGCCAAAAUUUGAAGCCAAUAUUACUGAAAUCUCAUAAAGUAUCUACUGAGUUUAGCACAGUUGGUGAAAUGGAUAAAUUAGAAUACAAUAGAGUUAAUAUUGGACCAAAACAGGGAAAUAUAUUAUUAUGUUGGUAUAAACAGGUGAGUUAAUGACAAUAUUUCUGCUUUGUUUUGCAGGUGAGUUAAUGACAUUAUUUUUGUUUGUUUUACAUCUUUACUAGGUUUACUGAUAGGUUAUUAGUGUUGUUAUUCUUUAGCCAGAUAUCUGUCGUAAUCUAGCAGACUUAUGAUAAACAGUGUCCCGAGUGUGAACAGCCUGCCCUUUUUCACUUCGUUUAAAUUGUUAAAUACAUUAAAUAUAUUUUAGUAUCAAAGUUUCAUUUGCUACUAAGGUAAGAAUACGUUUUCUGUCUUCAAGAUUAGAUACAGGCUGCAAGAAGCAAAAUAAUAAAUCGUAGUGUUAUUAUUAUUCAUCAUCUACUUCCAUGCUCCCAUCAAUUAGCUGGGUCAUCAAUGUCCAAGUCAGUUCUUAUUCAGAGUUAACAUCCAUUUUGACUGCUUGAGGUACACAUGCAUCUCACUUAAAUAUUCUGGAUUUUUUUUAACAAGAUACCCUUCUUAACGCCAACCAUUUUAUAAAGGAUAUUGCAUAUGUUUUAUUGUAACACAGACACUAAUAAGAUUGUCAUCAUCAUCACUAUUUAAAAUUGUUCUCCAGAAGUUCUUCUUGAUUUAUCAUCAUAUGAAGAUGUAAGUUUUUUUAUGGUAGUCUGAUGUUUGAUAUGAGAUAUCAUCUCUCGCCGAAGUAUCUUUCCAGAAUGUCUCAGGUUAAAAUAUUUAUUAUAGUCUACACACAUAUAUAUAUAUAUAUUCAAAAUGUCACUGCUUGUGUACCAUUGGCGAUUUUUUUUCCUCUAUUUUCUCUUCUCUGGAUCUUUCCUUCUCCUAUGUUUCCGAGGAAGAGCUCCCUACUUCUUUCCUUCUUUCCUGAGCUUCCAUCAUCAUCAUCAUCAUUUAGCGUCCGCUUUCCAUGCUAGCAUGGGUUGGACGGUUCUACUGGGGUCUGUGAAGCCAGAAGGCUUCAUCAGGCCCAGUCAAAUCUGGCAGUGUUUCUACGGCUGGAUGCCCUUCCUAACGCCAACCACUCCGUGAGUGUAGUGGGUGCUUUUUACGUGCCACCCGCACUGGUGCCAGACAGAGCUGGCAAACGGCCACGAACGGAUGGUGCUUUUUAUGUGCCACCGGCACGAGGGCCAGGCGAGGCUGGCAACGGACAACGAAACGGGGCGGUGCAGGCAACGGUCGUGAAACGGAAAGUUCUCUUACAUGCCACCGGCACUGGUAGCACAUCCGCAAUUUCCAUUGAUCAAUUUCGAUUCUGAUCCUCACUUGCCUCAACACGUCUUCACAAGUAGAGUUUUGUGUCCCAAGAAGGGAAGGUAUGCAUACGUAGGCUGGCUCCAUCCCAUGUAGAAGGCCACGGGUUAUGGACUCACUUGUCCUGCCGGGUCUUCUCGCGCACAGCACACUUCCAGAGGUCUCGGUCUCUAGUCAUUUCCUCAGUGAGACCUAAAGUUCGAAGGUCGUGCUUCACCACCUCGUCCCAGGUUUUCCUGGGUCUGCCUCUUCCACAGGUUCCCUCAACCGCUAGGGUGUGGCACUUUUUCACACAACUAUCUUCAUCCAUUCUCGCCACAUGACCAUACCAGCGCAAACGUCUCUCUUGCACACCACCACUGAUGCUUCUUAGGUCCAGCUUUUCUCUCAAGGUACUUACACUCUGCCGAGUGUGAGUACCGGCAUUACACAUCCAUCGGAGCAUACUGGCUUCAUUUCUAGUGAGUUUACGCAUAUCCUCAGCAGUCACGGCCCAUGUUUCACUGCCAUGUAGCAUGGCUGUUCGUACACAUGCAUCAUACAGUCUGCCUUUCACUCUGUGCGAGAAGCCUUUUGUCACCAGCAGAGGUAAGAGCUCUCUGAACUUUGCCCAAGCUAUUCUUACUCUAGCAGUUACACUUUCAGCACACCCGCCCCCGCUGCUGACUUGGUCACCUAGGUAACGGAAACUAUCAACUAUUUCUAGUUUUUCUCCCUGGAAAGUGACGGAAGUUGGUCUCAGAGCAUUUUCAGUGUUUAUUGUUCCUGAGCAUCUGCCACAUACAAAAACCAUCUUCCUAGUUAGCCUUCCUUUGACAUUGCUGCACCUCUUAUGUGUCCAUAGCUUACACUUGGUGCACCUUAUAGAGUUUCUACCUACACCUUUUCUACAGAUCGAGCAGGGCCAUCUACCUGAAGGUGUUUGUGAUUUGUCUACCUUCCUACUGAUUAGGACUUUGGUUUUAGCUAGAUUGACUCUGAGGCCCUUCGAUUCUAAUCCUUGUUUCCACACCUGAAACUUCUUCUCCAGUUCUGAUAGCGACUCAGCAAUUAGAGCAAGGUCAUCAGCAUAGAGGAGCUCCCAAGGGCAUCCUGUCUUGAAUUCCUCCGUUAUUGCUUGGAGGACUAUGAUAAAUAGGAGGGGGCUGAGUACUGAGCCUUGGUGAACCCCUACCUCUACCCGGAAUUCUUCACUGUACUCAUUUCCAACCCUCACCCUACUAGCGGCGUCCCUAUACAUGGCCCGCACAGCUCUCACUAACCAUUCAUCUAUCCCUAGUUUCCUCAUUGCCCACCAGAUAAGGGAUCGAGGGACCCUGUCGAAGGCUUUCUCCAUGUCAACAAAAGCCAGGUACAGGGGCUUAUCUUUGGCUAGGUAUUUCUCCUGCAGCUGCCUUACCAGGAAUAUAGCAUCAGUAGUACUUUUCCCUGGCACAAACCCAAACUGCAUCUCAUCUAAACUAACUCUCUCUCUAAUUAGUUGGGCUAUGACCCUCUCCGUAACCUUCAUCACCUGGUCCAACAGCUUGAUACCUCUGUAGUUAUUUGUAUCUAGGGCAUCACCUUUACCUUUGUAGCCGUUGACUAUUAUACUGCUACACCAGUCAUUGGGUAUGACCCCUUUGUGUAUCACCUGAUUAACUAUAUGGGUGACUAGGCUAUAGCCGACACUACCAGACAUUUUGAGCAUCUCUGCAGUGAUUCCUGAUGGGCCUGGGGCUUUCCCUGUCUUCAUGCUUCUAAUUGCCUUAGCUACCACGGAACUAUCAACUCGGAUAGCUGGUCCCUCUGUUGGGUCAACAUUCGGCAGACUCUCUUUAUCCCAUUCAUUUUCUUCAUUCAGCAACCUUUCAUAGUGGCAUCUCCAAACCUCUCUCUUUGCAUCCUCAUUUAGCGCAAGUGAACCAUCUUCCAUGCGAACACACUUCUCUCCUACCACAUCACGAUUCUCUCUCACACACUGUCUUGCAACACGAAACACCUCCAGUCUUUGGUCCUCAUGGCGCAGAACAUUGGCAAAUUUUUUCUUAUCUGCUUCCCCUCUGGCUAAAUAAACCUGUCUCCUAGCUUCUCUUUUGGCAGUCUGAUACAAUUCCCUGCUACCCCCAUUUUUCCAGACCUUCCAAGCCUGUCUCUUUUCUCUAAAAGCCAAUAAUACUAUAUUUGUUCCACAUCCUCAUGUUGUUGUGUUUUUUUGUACUUUCAUGUUUGGAUUAAGUAUAUGUAUUUAUAUAUAUAUAUAUAUGUAACUUAGAUUGCAUGUAUCUGUGGGUGUAAAUGCGUGUCUAUCUGUCUAUAUGUAUGCAACACUAAAACCCGAGAUCUAGCCAACUGAUGUCAUUCAUAUUUCACACAUGCCUUAGUUACGGUCCAUGCACUGUCAUGGGUCGAAGAAAUUUUCAACUUCUUGCCUAAUGUGAUUCUGGAGCAAUCUCUUAUCUCUUACCCUGUUUAGUUAUUACUUGUCAAAAGUGAAACAAUAAAAUCGCUAUUGUAAUGUGAGUUAAUACUUUCACUGUGAUAUAUUUACAUAUGUAUAUGUAUAUAUAUGCAUAUUAUAUGUAUGCAUGUAUAUGUAUGUUUACAUAUAUAAACAUACAUAUCAGAUCAGAUUGGAGCCUGGUGCAGCCUUCUGCCUUGCCAGCCCGAAGUCAGAAUUCAGCAUGGAAAGCGGAUAUGAAAUGGCAAUGUUAAUGAUGAUGAUGAUGAUGAUGAUGAUGAUGAUGAUGAUGAUGAUGAUGAUGAUGAUGAUGAUGAUGAUGGAGCUUCUACAAUAUAGAUCUGUGCUGAGACAUAAUCAUAUUCACUGUAAUGAAAGUCACUUAUUUUUUAGUCAGAUUAUAUAUAAUUUAUAUUGAUAUCUAGUAUGUAAUGUCAGAUGUUGUCCUUUUGUAUUGCAUAUACAACCUGUUAACAUGGUAAUGAAUGAGAUAUUAUUCAUUAAUUGAUUUACAUUUGUAUGUCUGAAAUUUAGCCUUAUUUUGUCAUAGCAUCAUCUUUUACCCUCACCCAACAGAUUUAAACCUUAUUACCAUCUGUGUAAGUUAUUCUACAGUUUUUCUUAGGCACAGAACCACUCCACUACGAACUGGGAUUAUUGACUUCAAUAGUCCAAUAAUGUCCAGAUGUUAUUGUGUCCUGAAACAAAAUGUGAAACAUUUCUGUAAAAGUAUGAUAUUAUUUAGGUAUAUUUUAUAAAGCAUUACUGUGACCUUUUGUAAUCAGUUGGUUUUAAUUAACAUCAGUGUCAAAUGUAGUAUAACAGUGGUAACAUGAAUGGGAUUAGAUAUUCCUUGUAUAUGCUGUUCUUAUAUUAACAAAAUCAUGACAGGACAGUUUCUGUCAGUCAGACCCUGCUACACAGGUGUAAGUUCCAAGUCCUCAAAUUUACUGGUUACUCGCUUUCAACCCUAUCAAUGUCAACCACAUGGAUAAAGGAGAUAUCAAAGAGAAAAGUAACUUUAUUCGAUGUAUUUAAUAGAAGAUUUAAAUAGAGGUAAACUAUAUUCUUGAGAAUCAGUUCUUUUCUACCAUUCCAGAUACUUUUCUUGCAAGAAAUGGAUGAUUGGUUAUAUAUAGUUCAUGAUGUUGAGUGCAAAUGCACAGUGUUUUAGGGCACAUUACCACUGUCCAUUUCACCUGUGUAGAACUAAUCAUUGCUCACCUGAAAAGAAACUGCUUUAUUAAGAAGGAUGAAUGACAAGUAAAUGUUUUCAAAUAUUUCAAGAAUCAGAUGACAUUCUGGUGAACUGUAAUGUAGGUAGUUAAAAUUAAAGAUUACCAGUGGCAACCUUUAACAGAGAGAGAGAGAAAGAGAGAGAGAGAGACAGAGAAACAGAGAAAGAAAGAAAGAGAGAGAGAGAGAGCUGGUGUAUGAUGAUCCUAACAGAUGUGGUGCAUCAUGUGUGUGUAGCUAGAUCUUAGAUGGCCAACCCCUAGUUGACAUUAGAAUUAGGCAGAUGAUGAGAAGAAUAUUGCUUAGUAAAAUAUAAACAUGAGAGGACAACGGCAUAUCAUAGAUAUGGCAGAAAUAUAAUUAAUGAAAGACAAAACUAAGUGAUAAUAAUCCUUAGCAAGUGGUAAAUAAAUGUGAUGAUUGCAACAUUGUUAGAUUAAGUAGGAUGUCUUAUUAUAGAGAGGAGAUUUAGGAAGGCUAGUUUGCUCUGUUGUGGACCUAAAUAUGAAGUUAUUACAUGGUACCACUGUAGAAAGUAUAAAAAUGUUGACUGAAAUCAUAGUGGUCUCCAUUCGACCAUUAAUGAUAGGAAUAUCUCACAAAAAUAAAAUAUAAAUUACAAUAGAGAUAUAGAAAUUUAACUAUAAAGUGUAAAUCUUGGAAAUAUUUCAGUGAAUCGAAGCCAGACCAUGCAGGAUCUCCUAAAUUUGUUUGAAAGUUUAGCAUGAAAGGAGAAACAUGAUGGUAAGUAUAAAAUAAGAAUACUUAACUGGUUUCUAUAAGUUUUACCUACACUUGACGUCCUUUGUCCAACCUAGCAUGGUUUGUACAGUUUAACCGGAGCUGGCAAGUUGAAGGGCUGUACCAGACUCCAAUGUCCAAUGACCCCAAUUAGAUUGAAGGUUCCACUCAGAAUUAUACUCUCUCCUCUCAUUCACCAAUCACUUUCAAGUGUAUACUGGGGCCAUUUUCUCAUGGUGUUAGCACUGUUCUGGUUGUGUUGCAUCUCAUACUAUUAUACAAUUCUCAUUGCUCUUUCAUGUCAUUUUACAAUCAUGAAGUAAGGAGUUUAAGUGAUAACAGAAGAAUAAUGAGGAUGCAGUGAGUGACAGUUGUGAGAAAAUGAGGAUAAGAACAAUGACUUGAAAGAGAGGUGGAGAAUACCAAGACUGAAUGGUUGAAGCUAAGAUAAAUUUAUUUGUGAGAUGGUUAAUGAUUUACUGACAUCUUGAGAAUCCAAUAAUCAAAGACAGUGUUACUUAGUAGAACAUCAAUGUUGGCUUUGGUAAAGUAUGAGGCUCAAUCACAAUAUCUCAACAAACAGAAACUAUAACUGUGAAAUCAUUUGGUCAGUGUUGCUGUGAAUGUCCUUAAUUGUUAAAAGUUUAGAUUAAUAAUGAUAGCUUUUUGUGUGAAUUUGAAUGCUGGUAAAAUAUACUAUAAGUUAUAACACUUGAAAUUAUGAAUUUCAGACUCACACAUGCAGGAUGUCUAUGAAGAGCCAGUUGGUGAGUAUAAAACUGAAGUACCAAAUUGAUUUCUAUAAGUUUUCCCUUAAGCACUAGCAUUGGUCAGUUUUUCUUGUGUCCCAUAAAAUUAGACACUUCUUACUGCUCUUAUGAUGUUGUUUUUUCAUUCAAGGGGACAAUUUGAGAAAUGAUGACAGAAGAAUAAUGAGGUUACAGGGAGAGAAAUUUGUGAGAAAAUAAGGAUAAGAAUGGUGAUUUGAAAGAGAGGUGAGGAAUGAUAAGACUGAAUGACCAUCAGUUGUGAACCAACAGAGAUGAUUAAUGAUGUAUUAACAUCUUGGGAGUGUGAUAAUUAAAGUCAAAAGUACUUAUAAGAACAUCAUUUUAAGCUUUCUAAUGUAGGAGAUUCAAUAACAAAUCGCAAAUAAAAACGUUUUCAACUGGUAAAAUUUGUUAGAGACGAUUUCAUUUGGUUCCAAAAUCGUUAUCCAGAAGUUCUUUUUGUUUAUCGCUCGAAGAUUGACCGUUUUUUUCUAAUGGGCCAAUCAAACAAGUCCAUUUCUUUUUAAAGGUGUAGCGUUUGUAAGAGUCUAGAUUGAAUUGAUAUAUCGGUUCCAUUCUAGCAAAAACUGUCUGAUGAACGGCAACGAGAAACUCAG
rnacentral:lncRNA from 1 species